GCUCUCUUUCGUAGCGCAUAUACUAAAACUGGAACUACACAGAGAAGAUUAGCAUGGCCCCUGAGCAAGGAUAACAAGGCAGCUUUUU
rnacentral:snRNA from 1 species